rnacentral:rRNA from 1 species
AGAGUUUGAUCCUGGCUCAGAUUGAACGCUGGCGGCAGGCCUAACACAUGCAAGUCGAGCGGUAGAGAGAAGCUUGCUUCUCUUGAGAGCGGCGGACGGGUGAGUAAUGCCUAGGAAUCUGCCUGGUAGUGGGGGAUAACGUUCGGAAACGGACGCUAAUACCGCAUACGUCCUACGGGAGAAAGCAGGGGACCUUCGGGCCUUGCGCUAUCAGAUGAGCCUAGGUCGGAUUAGCUAGUUGGUGAGGUAAUGGCUCACCAAGGCGACGAUCCGUAACUGGUCUGAGAGGAUGGUCAGUCGCACUGGAACUGAGACACGGUCCAGACUCCUACGGGAGGCAGCAGUGGGGAAUAUUGGACAAUGGGCGAAAGCCUGAUCCAGCCAUGCCGCGUGUGUGAAGAAGGUCUUCGGAUUGUAAAGCACUUUAAGUUGGGAGGAAGGGCAGUUACCUAAUACGUGAUUGUUUGACGUUACCGACAGAAUAAGCACCGGCUAACUCUGUG